GGGGGGUCCUAAUGGCAAGUCGACGAAGCCUUUACCUUGAUUCCUUCGGGUUGAUUGGUACUGUGACUGAGUGGCGGACGGGUGAGUAACGCGUGGGGAAUCUGCCCCAUACAGGGGGAUAACAGAUAGAAAUGUCUGCUAAUACCGCAUAAGACCACAGCACCGCAUGGUGCAGGGGUAAAAACUGAGGUGGUAUGGGAUGGACCCGCGUCUGAUUAGCUGGUUGGUGAGGUAACGGCUCACCAAGGCGACGAUCAGUAGCCGACCUGAGAGGGUGACCGGCCACAUUGGGACUGAGACACGGCCCAAACUCCUACGGGAGGCAGCAGUGGGGAAUAUUGCACAAUGGGGGAAACCCUGAUGCAGCGACGCCGCGUGAAGGAUGAAGUAUUUCGGUAUGUAAACUUCUAUCAGCAGGGAAGAAAAUGACGGUACCUGACUAAGAAGCCCCGGCUAACUACGUGCCAGCAGCCGCGGUAAUACGUAGGGGGCAAGCGUUAUCCGGAUUUACUGGGUGUAAAGGGAGCGUAGACGGUAUGGCAAGUCUGAUGUGAAAACCCGGGGCUCAACCCCGGGACUGCAUUGGAAACUGUCGGACUAGAGUGUCGGAGAGGUAAGUGGAAUUCCUAGUGUAGCGGUGAAAUGCGUAGAUAUUAGGAGGAACACCAGUGGCGAAGGCGGCUUGCUGGACGAUGACUGACGUUGAGGCUCGAAAGCGUGGGGAGCAAACAGGAUUAGAUACCCUGGUAG
rnacentral:rRNA from 1 species